AUGCUCGCCUUGGCAGCAUAUAUACUAAAAUUGGAACAAUACAGAGAAGAUUAGCAUGACCCCUGCACAAGGAUGACACACAAAUUUGUGAACCAUUCUAUAUUUUA
ensembl:snRNA U6 U6 spliceosomal RNA